rnacentral:rRNA from 1 species
AUGGCGAGGGCCGUGUUUGUCGCUCUUCUUCUCGCCUCGUGCUUUGUGGCUCUUGGCCUGUCCGGCCGCGCCGAUGGGGCGGCCGAGAGGAAGACCGUCGGUGUGUACGAGCUCAAGAAGGGGGAUUUCUCCAUCAAGGUCACCAACUGGGGUGCCACCCUCAUGUCUGUAAUCCUCCCCGACUCGAGAGGAAACUUGGGGGAUGUGAUCCUGGGCUAUGAUACGGUCGCUGAAUAUGUGAAUGGCACCGCCUACUUUGGAGGGUUGAUCGGCCGCGUCGCCAACAGGAUCGCCAACGCCCGGUUCACGCUGGACGGCAAAGUCUACCGGCUGAUUCCCAACGAUGGCAACAACACGCUACACGGUGGUCACCGGGGAUUCGAUAAGGUCGUAUGGACGGUGAAGGAGCACGUCGCCGGCGGCAGCUCCCCCUUCAUCACUCUGUAUUACCAUAGCUUCGACGGAGAGCAAGGGUUUCCAGGCGACGUGGAUGUGCACGUGACGUACCAACUCUCGAGCCCGCACGUGCUGAGCGAGCGCAUGAACGCAACGGCGCGGGGCAAGGCCACCCCGGUGAACCUGGCGCACCACGCCUACUAG